AAACCAAAGCUGGCGACCGGCGCACGGGUGAGUAACACGUAUCCAACCUGCCUCAUACUCGGGGAUAGCCUUUCGAAAGAAAGAUUAAUAUCCGAUAGCAUAUAUUUCCCGCAUGGGUUUUAUAUAAAGAAAUUCGGUAUGAGAUGGGGAUGCGUUCCAUUAGUUUGUUGGGGGGUAACGGCCCACCAAGACUACGAUGGAUAGGGGUUCUGAGAGGAAGGUCCCCCACAUUGGAACUGAGACACGGUCCAA
rnacentral:rRNA from 1 species